GAUGAACGCUGGCGGCGUGCCUCAAACAUGCAAGUCGAGCGGGGCUAUGUAAUAUCGCAAGGUAGAACAUAGCCUAGCGGCGAACGGGUGAGUAACACGUGGGUAACCUGCCUGGAAGACAGGGAUAACGAUUCGAAAGGGUCGCUAAUACCUGAUAAUAUCCUUUCAUCGCAUGGUGAUAGGAAGAAAGGGGAAACCCGCUUUCAGAUGGGCCCGCGUCCCAUCAGCUAGUUGGUAAGGUAAAGGCUUACCAAGGCGACGACGGGUAGCCGGUCUGAGAGGAUGUACGGCCACACUGGGACUGAGAUACGGCCCAGACUCCUACGGGAGGCAGCAGUUGGGAAUCUUAGGCAAUGGACGAAAGUCUGACCUAGCGACGCCGCGUGAGGGAAGAAGGCCUUCGGGUUGUAAACCUCUGUCAUGGGGAGAAGUAAGUGACGGUACCCCAAGAGGAAGCCCCUGCUAACUACGUGCCAGCAGCCGCGGUAAAGAGGUAGUACA
rnacentral:rRNA from 1 species